CAUAAACCUAAAAAAAUUAAUAUAAAUGGUUUUUCUUUAUAAAAAUCAAGAAUUAGUUAUAUUAAUUUCCCACUUGAAAGAAAAACAAUUUUGUUGUCCUCAAAAUGUAAAUACUUUUAUUUCAAAAUUCUGUGCUAGUAUUAAGCAACAUGUGUGCGGAACAGAGUUGCCAUAUUAAAUUAAUAGUGCUGCCAACUGUGUCUACCAAAAAACUGUUGUACAGCGCUAGAAUUUUAAUAAUCUGUGUGGCAACUCUUUAACUUUGUUCUUAAAAAACGUGUUCCGAUUUGUUUUUUCUUAAGCACAACCAUGGCAGACGGGGAUAGUUACUUAUUGUUUGCCGAAAUCAUACGCUUUGAGAUGCAAAGAAUGAAUCCCCGGCAGAGACUAAUGUUCUCCCAGAAAGUUUAUCAAUGUUUGUUGGAGACUUUUGAUGAUCCAAAAGACUUUCCCAAACCGGUGGUACGAGCGCAGCCCCUGCCGAAUGAUCAACGGAGUCGUAUUGUUUAUUCACGCCCCUCAGAGAACACUGCAGUCAAUGUGACCCCAUAUGCCCAACAAUUGGCAAAUAAUCCGGUACGGCAAAAGGCAGCAAGCAUUUGUGGAACUAGGCCCAAAGCCCAAAGUAAUAUAAAAAACAUAAAUACUAACCGGAUCAAUACACGUUCCACGUUAAAAUCAGCAGUCAUAAAUAACCCAGAUGGAUCCUUCGAUCAAUCGUCAUUUAGGCUGAAUUCCAUUGCUUCAACUGCUUCUACUCCGAGUGUAAAAGGUGAUGCCGUAAUACCGACCCUCAGAGUUGUUAGCAAUGAUAUCUUGUUCCGGGGAUGUUCUGCAAAAUCGCAACCAUAAUUAAUAAAUUUAUUUAAUAAGUUCAUUGUGUUUAAUGCUUAACUACAGCCGAAUUUAAUGUAAUUUAGUCUCUGAGCCCUGAAAUUUCUUUCGAGAUGUAAAUACAUACUAAAUCAUUAAAAAUUUUGAAUUGAGCAAA